rnacentral:lncRNA from 1 species
GCCGCACAACAUUAUCUCCAUGCCCUUCUAUCCAUUGAUUUUGAUUUGAAUGGAUAUGAUUAAAAGAGAUUAGAUCUCUUGGGCAUUAAGAAGAGUUUUGAUGUGAAAAAUAAUGGUUUUUGGUGUGACAAAAAGAAGGGAGGGUGUGAUGUCUUGUGGGAGAUAGAAGUGGGACUUCUUUAGGACAUCAUAACUCUCUCCCAACGCCUCCUCUUUCUUUCUUCCUUUUGAUGGUAAUCAAAUCUAAGAAGAGAAAAGAGAGAGAAGAAGAGAAGAAAAAGGGUUCUUCUUUUCUUUAUGAUGAUCU